UCUCUCCUUCGUGGCUACCCUUAGAAAGUUAGCAUGGGUGUGGUAUUCUGGACUCCGACCAAGAUCUAUUCAUUUAUUCAAGCAGCUCCACAGGCUGUUCGUUACUUGUACUUUAGCAGUUGUCAAUCCCAAUCGAGAAACUUAAAUAGCCUCCUUUCUCUCCAACAAGAAGAGGAUGAGUCAUUGUGUGACUAUAUCAUGCAUUUUAACGCUACCACACUCGAGGUGUAGAACCAUGAUCAGUCAGUGGCAACGUUAGUGCUC
rnacentral:lncRNA from 1 species